AUACAGAGGUGGCAAGCGUUGUUCGGAAUUACUGGGCGUAAAGGGCGCGUAGGCGGUCUGAUAAGUCCCGUGUGAAAUCCCUCGGCUCAACUGAGGAAUGGCACGGGAAACUGACGGGCUUGAGUUCGGGAGAGGGAAGCGGAAUUCCGGGUGUAGCGGUGAAAUGCGUAGAUAUCCGGAGGAACACCGGUGGCGAAGGCGGCUUCCUGGACCGACACUGACGCUGAGGCGCGAAAGCUAGGGGAGCAAACG
rnacentral:rRNA from 1 species